rfam:Pseudomonas syringae pv. spinaceae strain ICMP16929 PspICMP16929_Contig_154, whole genome shotgun sequence.
UGCUAUGGCGACUGUGCGCUUGGCACCUUCGGGUGCGCCGGUUCUUAGCUCACCGGUCUACUAACUCGCGUACAGUUGCCGCCUUU